rnacentral:lncRNA from 1 species
GAUUGCCUUCCCAGCAAUCGCUCGAUGCAGCCACUAACCGGCCGGAAACCGCGAAUAACGCCGGUGAUCUCCCUUAACCGAUGUCCUGUCCUUUCCUACCGCUCUCGCCUCAGCGAGUCUUUUUCUUCCCCUCUAGCUUCUCCGGCUAGAGGUUGAAGAAAACUCCUUGACUACUAGAAUUUCAAAAAUCCAACAGUAAGUAUACUACAGCAUCCAUGUCCAAACACUCCCAUCUGACCAACUUCAGAUGGAAAAGAUUCUUGUAUAUACAGUUGGUCGGUAUAACUUUUUGAUAUAUAAAUGGACAGUCAGAAUACUAUCCGUAGAAUAGAUAUAGAUCAUUGAUAU